rnacentral:rRNA from 1 species
GACAGAGGGUGCAAACGUUGCUCGGAAUCACUGGGCGUAAAGGGCGUGUAGGCGGGAAGGAAAGUCAGAUGUGAAAUCCCUGGGCUCAACCCAGGAACUGCAUUUGAAACUCCCUUUCUUGAGUGUCGGAGAGGAAAGCGAAAUUCCUGGUGUAGAGGUGAAAUUCGUAGAUAUCAGGAAGAACACCCGUGGCGAAGGCGGUUCUCUGGGACGGUACUGACGCUGAGACGCGAAAGCGUGGGGAGCGAACAGG